CCUACGGGAGGCUGCAGUGGGGAAUAUUGGGCAAUGGAGGCAACUCUGACCCAGCAAUGCCGCGUGAGUGAUGAAGGUAAUUUUAUUGUAAAGCUCUUUUCUUUGGAACGAAUAAAUGACGGUACCAAAGGAAUAAGCCCCGGCUAACUACGUGCCAGCAGCCGCGGUAAUACGUAGGGGGCAAGCGUUGGUCGGAAUGACUGGGCGGAAAGGGGGUGUAGGUGGUUUGAUAAGUUGGAUGUGUAAUACCCAGGGCUUAACUCGGGGGCUGCAUCUAAACCUGUUAGGCUUGAGUACUGGAGAGGAUAGUGGAAUGCGUAGUGUAGCGGUGGAAUGCGUAGAUAUUAGGAAGAACAUCAGUGGCGAAGGCGACUAACUGGACAGCAACUGACGCUGAGGCACGAAAGCGUGGGGAGCAAACAGGAUUAGAUACCCGUGUAGUC
rnacentral:rRNA from 1 species